GGCAAAAGCUCAAAUUUGAAAUCUGGCGUCCUCUGGGCGUCCGAGUUGUAAUUUGGAGGAGCGUCUUCGGGAGCGGCACCGUCCUAAGUUCUUUGGAACAGGACGUCAUAGAGGGUGAGAAUCCCGUGCCUGGGCGGUUGACCGUUCCCAUGCGAAGUGCUUCCGACGAGUCGAGUUGUUUGGGAAUGCAGCUCAAAAUGGGUGGUAAAUUUCAUCUAAAGCUAAAUAUUGGCGAGAGACCGAUAGCGCACAAGUAGAGUGAUCGAAAGAUGAAAAGCACUUUGAAAAGAGAGUUAAAAAGUACGUGAAAUUGUUGAAAGGGAAGCGCUUGAGAUCAAACUCGGCCUCUGGUGAUCCGCUGGGCUUCUGUCCGGUGAAACUUUGCCAUUGGCCGGGCCAGCAUCGGUUCUGACGGUGGGAAAAACGGCCAGGGAACGUGGCUCCUCUCGGGGAGUGUUAUAGACCUGGCCUUCGAUACUGCCAGUUGGGACCGAGGACCGCGCUUCGGCUAGGAUGCUGGCGUAAUGGUCUUAAGCGACCCGU
rnacentral:rRNA from 1 species